UAAAUGAAGAUGCCAGCACUGAGGAUGAAGCUAGCUCCCUGUACAAUCUUUUUCUUAUGGCUUUGUGCAUCUCCUCUUGCAGUGGAUUCUCAGGACAUGUUAAGAUGUGCUGAAACCACUGGGAUCUUGGAUCAAGAUGCUAUACUGAACUGCUCUCUGCCCUCUGAAUAUGGUGAUGUGACUGUUUCAAAAGUUAUAUGGCAAAAAGUGGGAAGUAACAGGACAUCACUGAUUGCUUAUAAAGAGGGGAUUUUUACAAAACAAGAGCAGCGAUUCAGUCUGCAAGAGGACUGGAGUAAUACAAGCAGAGACGUGUUCCUCGUGGUGAGGAAGACCCAGGCCAGUGAUGAGGGGCACUAUCAGUGUAAAAUAGUGUCAGAUCGGGGAUUUGCAAUAUUUGAGGCUACCCUAAUUGUGACAGCUCGAGUGACAGCUGAUGAACCAGCUCCAAAGGAUGAAGAGAAGCCGAGGUAUCACUGGAUUCUAAUUGCAGCGCUGGUGGGAUUGCUGCUUGUCAUCGGAGGCUUUUUUCUUUGGCUGAAAAUUCAUAAUCCAAAGGAUGUUCCAAUGACAGGAACUCGUAUCUGUGGAGGUACAAUGAAGAACACAAAGAAUGUCUCACCCAAUUACUCACUGACAGAUGAGUCAGUAUGAGUUUCAGAAGAUAGUUCAGUGGUGUGGAGAUACAUUAUUAGUUGAUUAAUGACAAAGGAUUUGGAAAUAUUAUAUCAAAUCUCAAUUGUUAUCAUGUUUUACAAACAUUCUCUAGUGAACUGUGUAUGUGAACUUUAUCGAUUAGCUACGGCUGAACCACUUACAUUCUGUAAUUUCACUCUGGUGAAUUGUUUAUUUUGAUGUGCUUUAUACUAACUACUAUGACCUGUGAAGAUGUGAAAAAAGUUUUAUUUUCAGCAGCAGUACAAAUGAUUGACAGCUCAAAUGUACAAUGCACAGUUCCAGCUCCCAUCUGAGGAACCUGCCUGCUCUGUUCUACCUGAACCAGUUGAGGCCUCUUCCAGGUCCCAGACAGUUAGCUCUUUAUUGAUGCUUAUAAGACCUGGAGGACUCCAUACCGCAGGACCGGGUUUGGGCACCCCUGAUCAAUUUGAAAUAUAGUAUUCAAUUUUGCAGUAAGAAAGUUCCCAGGUGACCUAAUUCCUAAAUACAUCGCAUUCAAAUUGUGAAUUUCAAAUUUAACUGCUAGUUACUCUUGGAUUCCUUCACAAACAAUGGAAAGUAUAUGAAGCUGUUUGUCUUUGUAAUGCCACUGCAUCUGUUGAAAAAACUGGGGGAGAUGGGGGUGGGAUCCAUUGUGAGCAGCUCCACUGUAAAUAAUCAGUCUGUGGAUCUAGCAUUAGUAUAUCAGGUCAAAAUGAU